rnacentral:misc_RNA from 1 species
ACAAUAAUUAAAAUAUAACAAUAUUUUUUUAGGAUUUAUGAGUGAAAAUAAAGAAUUAGUUAGAUCUUUUAUAAAUGAUCUUUAUAUUGAUUUCAUCAACUCAAAUAAAUUUUCUAACCUUCAAAGGUAUUUGGAGGCUGAUUUGUCAUGGUCUGCAUCUGGAGAAGUAAAAGAUGUUAAAAAACAACUUAAAAUGAUAAUCAAAGAUUCAGAUUAUUAUGUGGACAUUGAGAACAUGGUUUUUGCACAAAUGAACAAAAAAAAUAAAAAAAGUAGAAGUUAUGGCAUCUUGCCCUACUUAAAAAAGUCUGAGGAGUUAUGGUUGAAACGCAUAAUGGAAAGUGUUAACAAGAUGUGCACAGAGCUUAAAAUUUAUUUAUCACAAAAAAGAACUGUAAGUCAACAAGUUGGUUUGGACGAGAACAUCUUGAGUUUUGUUAAAAAAGAUUGCAAUAAAAGUAAUAUCAAGUUAAGGCCUGUUUACUCUGCAACAGAUUUCUUUGAAAUGCUGAUAUCAAUAAAGAAUAACAACUUACGAGACAGUGUAAGAACAUCAUUGUAUUUGAUGAAGACAUGUUUACACGUUAAAGAUUUUCUAGAGUUGAAGUCUUUCUAUUCAGCUAUGUAUUGUUUACAUCAAAUGAACUUUAAAGAUCAAACACAAAAAGAGAUUUUCUAUAUAAACAAAUGGAUGAAAAGUGAAAAUGAUUGGAUAAAACUUGGCAAUGCAGUUAUAAAUAAAAAAACCUGUAGUUCAGCUCGACAAUAUUUAAAACAAGGAUGUCCUGCUAGCUUACGUAAACAAAUCUGGUUGAUAUUAUUGAAUAUAAAAAUUCAUGAUGAGGAUAUGUUGUAUUACUUUCAAUUGAAAAAGUCGGCACUUGAAUACGAUUUGUUUGUAGACCAUUUGCUCAGGCAGGAUGUUCAAUUGACAGCAAGCAACAGCAACUUGUUUUUCGUUUUUGAAGAUUUGCUUUAUCAAACUUUGCUGGUCUUUAGUCGAGAUGACUGUUUUUUGAAUUAUCUUGAAGAGUUAUCAAUAACACCAUUCAAAUAUUUGAUAAAAGAUAAAAUAAUAGAAGAUAGAUUUAAUACAUAUCCACCUUGUGGUAUUCUUCCAUUUCAUGGAUUUUCCAUGUUAGCUGCUCCCCUUUGUUAUAUAUAUGAAAAGCCUGAAGAACUUUACUUUGCUUUCCGUGAGCUAUAUGAUAUUUUAUCAAACUGCAUUCAAUAUCUUCAAACUCUCAGAGCAUUUUGUCUAUCAGCUCUCUAUUUGAAUCCUUGUUGAUAUCUAAAGAAGCUGCUCUUUUUAAACAUUUGAUGGAUAUUGGCAGUCCACCUUUAAAACUAGCAUUUAAUUGGUUGAUGUUUGUGUACUCUGGUUACCUAUCGGCAGAGGAAACUCUACAACUUUGGGAUAUAAUUCUUGGCUUCGAUUCUCUGGAUAUUCUUGCAGUGGUGGCAGUAGCAAUUUUUGAGUUUCGAAGAGAAAG